rnacentral:rRNA from 1 species
UAGUCCACGCAGUAAACGAUGAGUGCUAGAUAUCUGGAAUAUUAUUCUGGGUGUCGUAGCUAACGCGUUAAGCACUCCGCCUGAGUAGUACGGUCGCAAGACUAAAACUCAAAGGAAUUGACGGGGGACCCGCACAAGCGGUGGAACAUGUGGUUUAAUUCGAGGCUACGCGAAGAACCUUACCAGGUCUUGACAUACUAGUCGUACUUUAUAGUAAUAUAAAGGUCAGCUCGGCUGGACUAGUACAGGUGUUGCAUGGUUGUCGUCAGCUCGUGUCGUGAGAUGUUGGGUUAAGUCCCGCAACGAGCGCAACCCUUACCCUUAUUUACCAUCAUUAAGUUGGGCACUUUAAGGGAACUGACCGGUGAUAAGCCGGAGGAAGGCGGGGAUGAUGUCAAAUCAGCAUGGCCCUUAUGACCUGGGGCUACACACGUGUUACAAUGGGUGAUUACAGAGA